rnacentral:rRNA from 1 species
GAUGAACGCUGGCGGCGUGCCUAAUACAUGCAAGUCGAGCGAACAGACGAGGAGCUUGCUCCUCUGACGUUAGCGGCGGACGGGUGAGUAACACGUAGGUAACCUACCUAUAAGACUGGGAUAACUUCGGGAAACCGGAGCUAAUACCGGAUAAUAUUUCGAACCGCAUGGUUCAAUAGUGAAAGAUGGCUUUGCUAUCACUUAUAGAUGGAUCUGCGCCGUAUUAGCUAGUUGGUAAGGUAACGGCUUACCAAGGCAACGAUACGUAGCCGACCUGAGAGGGUGAUCGGCCACACUGGAACUGAGACACGGUCCAGACUCCUACGGGAGGCAGCAGUAGGGAAUCUUCCGCAAUGGGCGAAAGCCUGACGGAGCAACGCCGCGUGAGUGAUGAAGGUCUUCGGAUCGUAAAACUCUGUUAUUAGGGAAGAACAAACGUGUAAGUAACUGUGCACGUCUUGACGGUACCUAAUCAGAAAGCCACGGCUAACUACGUG